rnacentral:rRNA from 1 species
AUGUAGGUAGCGCGUCAGAGUUUACGUCAUCGGGGGGUAGAGCACUGGAUGGGCUAGGGGGAUUCAAACUCCUACCAAACCUAACCAAACUCCGAAUACCGAUGAACGCGUCUCUGGCAGACACACGGCAGGAGCUAACUUCUGUCGUGAAGAGGGAAAAAACCCUGACCAUCGACUAAGGUCCCCAAGUCACAGCUAAGUGGGAAAGGAUGUGAGGAUCCCAAAACAGCCAGGAUGUUGGCUUAGAAGCAGCCAUCAUUUAAAGAAAGCGUAACAGCUCACUGGUCUAGAUAAGGGUUCUUGCGCCGAAAAUGUAACGGGGCUCAAGCUGUGCACCGAAGUCAUGGAUUUGGUUCGUCUGCGGACGAGCCAAGUGGUAGCGGAGCGUUCCGUAAGCCUGUGAAGGUGGUCCGGUGAGGACUGCUGGAGGUAUCGGAAGUGAGAAUGCUGACAUGAG